rnacentral:rRNA from 1 species
UACUCGAGUGGCGAACGGGUGAGUAACACGUGGGUGAUCUGCCCUGCACUUCGGGAUAAGCCUGGGAAACUGGGUCUAAUACCGGAUAGGAGCCAUUUUUAGUGUGAUGGUUGGAAAGUUUUUUCGGUGUAGGAUGAGCUCGCGGCCUAUCAGCUUGUUGGUGGGGUAAUGGCCUACCAAGGCGGCGACGGGUAGCCGGCCUGAGAGGGUGGACGGCCACAUUGGGACUGAGACACGGCCCAG